AUUGAACGCUGGCGGCAGGCCUAACACAUGCAAGUCGCGCGAGCGGCGGACGGGUGAGUAAUGUCUGGGAAACUGCCUGAUGGAGGGGGAUAACUACUGGAAACGGUAGCUAAUACCGCAUACCAUCAGAUUUGCCCAGAUGGGAUUAGCUAGUAGGUGGGGUAAUGGCUCACCUAGGCGACGAUCCCUAGAUGGUCUGAGAGGAUGACCAGCCACACGGGAACGGAACCACGGUCCAGACUCCUAAGGAAGGCAGCAGUGGGGAAUAUUGCACAAUGGGCGCAAGCCUGAUGCAACCAUGCCGCGUGUGUAAAGAAGGCCUUGGGGUUGUAAAGCACUUUCAGCGAGGAGGCGUUACCCGCAGAAGAAGCACCGGCUAACUCCGUGCCAGCCGCCGCGGUAAUUC
rnacentral:rRNA from 1 species